rnacentral:lncRNA from 1 species
UGUGAAGGAGAAUAUGGGAAAGAAAUAUCCUGUGAGGAAGAACGCUACUGAAGUUUACAAAUGAAAUAGACUGGAUUUUUACUAAGAGAUUCAACAGGUUUGAUUGUUGCUGGAGUUACUAUUAAGAGGCAGGGAAUGAAAAUCAUGUUGUUCAAGGGCAGUGACUGGGAAUAUGUAAAAAAUAUUUGUUUCUCUGUAAAGACGAAACUACACAUGAACUCAUGUAGAAUUGUUUUGUCUAGUGUCAACUGUGUGAAGCGAAAGGAGUCAUGCGCAGAGAGCAGUGAGACAACAGCGUGGGUGGGAGGCUACUCUGCAGAAGAGGGAAGGCAUCGCUGGGUUAGAAGCAUUCCAAAGUGUUCAUUCCAAAGUGUAAGGCAAAUACAAGAGGCUUUCUAGAUUGAGACUGAGAAGACCCAUGGAGACGGAGUGUGGUCCCAAGGAGAAGUGUGGGCAGUGACACAUGGUCUCUCCGAUGGUGUGAGCACAGCUGAGGAUUAAACCCCUGCCACCAGGAGCAUGCACAUACCCAGGAAGCUGCGGAAGAGGCCCAGAGCUAGGAUGAUAAAGUUCUUCCAUGAAAAUCAAACAGCAAGCCCGUGUGUUGUCCUGAAGACCACAUAGUAAGCAUGGCAACAGCAACAGCUUCUCUGCUAACCUGAGGACAAUGAAUGACAAGGAUUGAGAACACACCAUCCCAAAGCUCUCGUUCCAUGGCUCUGGUUUG